UACGUAGGUGGCAAGCGUUGUCCGGAAUCAUUGGGCGUAAAGCGCGUGUAGGCGGCCCGGUAAGUCCGCUGUGAAAGUCGGGGGCUCAACCCUCGAAUGCCGGUGGAUACUGUCGGGCUAGAGUGCGGAAGAGGCGAGUGGAAUUCCUGGUGUAGCGGUGAAAUGCGCAGAUAUCAGGAGGAACACCAAUUGCGAAGGCAGCUCGCUGGGACGUGACUGACGCUGAGACGCGAAAGCGUGGGGAGCAAACAGG
rnacentral:rRNA from 1 species